rnacentral:lncRNA from 1 species
GUAAAUACAUAAUUGCAUAUUAGAGCCAGUGUUAUAAAGGCAAGCAAAAGUAUACUAGGAGAAGGGCUAAGGACUAACAAGGAGAGAGGAAUAGGAAAGCAUUUCUGAGGUAAUGGUUAAGUUGAGAGCUGAAUGUUGACUAUGUUUAUAGCACAUGUUUGCAUACUUAGGUAUUUUCUUGCUAGAUCUAAGUUUCCACAUGCAUAAUGUUUUUUAUUUCCUCUACAGGAUCUAUAGGACAUUGUUUGUAGGCUGAUUUGAUAAAUGUUGCAUGCAUUGAAAGGGAGCUGCCCACUUUGGAAAAACCUAACUCGCAUAAAGAAGGAUGGAAAAAAGAAUGUCCAAGGAGGAGGAAGGGUGAGAAAGUGGCACAUUCCCUAUCAGUGCACCAGAAGCUGUGUUCAGAAACAACUAUAAUACAAGAAAGAAAAUAGUGCUUCAGAAGAAGAGGGCGCCAUAACUUAGGGUAGUUCAAAAGAAGAUGAAAUUAGCUACACACUGCUUUGGUAUUUCAUGUCCAUUAACUUCUCCACCUUGCAACCAGGAAUAAUUGCCAAUUGAUUAUUUCAGGUGAAAAAGAUGUACAGUUGGAACCUGCUUAAAAGAGAUUUUGUUUAUCUAGCAUCUUCUGAGUAAUUCUGGACCUCAAACACCUUUAACUGUUUCUAGGCAUUGAAAUGCAGAUAUUUGCUUGCCUUCUUUCAGAAGCCAACUUCCUCUGCUGGGUGGUGGAGGAGGGGCCAAGAAGACAUUCAGUCUAGCGGUCUCUCUUAAGUACUCUGUAAGAUCAUGCAUAUCUUCCUAGAUGCUUCUAGUAGCCUUCUCAGGUUACCACCCAGGCUGGGAAAAUUGUCAACAUUUAUUCCAUUGCACAUAUGAAACUAUUUCAAAUGCAAUUAUAAGGUAGGAUAGGAAAUAUUUAAAAACUUGAUAAAUAGGACUUUUCCCCAGAGUACCAGAAAGACGGUACUUAAGUAAUUUAGGCCCUUCCCAAGAUGGUCUUGUGAGUUUCACAAGUCCUAGGUGAUCCUACUUCCCUAAGAUUCUUACCCUCUCUCUAGCAUGUUUUUCAGUUCUCUGUGAUAAUACCCAUCCACUUCUCUCAUUAAGUGCCAUCCCACUCUCAAUGUCCAACUCCUUCUCUCUGCAUUUGUUCAGUCUGAGGUCUUCAUCUGUACAAAAGCUUCUAGAGUCCUUGGGAUGAUCAGAGACACAGUUGAAACCUAAGCCCUUUUGCUGUCUUUGGUUUUCCUACUCUUUGGACAAUUGAACUGAUGUGAAUGGCAGACAUGUUUAUUAAACUGUAACAUGCUAAGAGCAAACAAAUGCACUUCUCUCAAAGACAAAUAUGAACUUUCAGGAACAGCAGAGUCCAAAAAAUACUGAGAAAUGAAAUGUUUCUUUAAUAAACAAGUUUCCUUUCCUUUCCGGUGGAGCCA